CCAUCCAGUCAGGACUCUCGACAGAGAAAUUGUAUCACACGAUAACUGCACCUAAGGGUUCAUUUUUCUAUUCUGCUGGAUUGUCACUACAUAUUACUAGACGUCACUGGUAGAUCGUGAGAACUCACUAAGAUCGUUUUUGGAUCAACAAUCUUUGUUGAGGUGAGUUAGAAUCAUUUCAGCCUAUUGAAAAGAGUUUCAAUGAUACUGUGAUGGAGAUCAUGGUAUGUCUCACUACCAGAUAGAAUAGAAUCUGAGGGAUCACAUACAAAAGGAGCA
rnacentral:lncRNA from 1 species